rnacentral:rRNA from 1 species
AUUGAACGCUGGCGGCAGGCCUAACACAUGCAAGUCGAGCGAGCGGCGGACGGGCGAGUAAUGUCUGGGCAACUGCAUGAUGGAGGGGGAUAAAUACUGGAACCGGUAGCGAAUACCGCAUACCAUCAGAUGUGCUCAGAUGGGAUUAGCUAGUAGGUGGGGUAACGGCUCACCUAGGCGACGACCCACAGCUGGUCUGAGAGGAUGACCAGCCAACCUGUAACGGGGCCACGCGCCAGACUCCUACGGAGGAAAGCGGAGGGAAAUAUUGCCCAAUGGGCGAAAGUCUGAUGCGGCCAUGCCGCGGAUGGGAAGAGGGCCUUCGGGUUGUAAGGCACGUUCAGCGGGGAGUCGUUACCCGCAGAGAAAGCACCGGCGAACUACGUGCCAGCAGCCGCGGUAAUAC